CCUACGGGAGGCAGCAGUGAGGAAUAUUGGUCAAUGGACGAGAGUCUGAACCAGCCAAGUAGCGUGAAGGAUGACUGCCCUAUGGGUUGUAAACUUCUUUUAUAAAGGAAUAAAACGAGGCACGUGUGCCUUUUUGCAUGUACUUUAUGAUUAAGGAUCGGCUAACUACGUGCCAGCAGCCGCGGUAAUACGGAGGAUCCGAGCGUUAUCCGGAUGUAUUGGGUUUAAAGGGAGCGUAGAUGGGUUGUUAAGUCAGUUGUGAAAGUUUGCGGCUCAACCGUAAAAUUGCAUUUGAUACUGGCAGUCUUGAGUACAGUUGAGGUAGGCGGAAUUCGUGGUGUAGCGGUGAAAUGCUUAGAUAUCACGAAGAACCCCGAUUGCGAAGGCAGCUUACUAAACUGUGACUGACAUUGAUGCUCGAAAGUGUGGGUAUCAAACAGGAUUAGAUACCCGGGUAGUC
rnacentral:rRNA from 1 species